UGCGUCGUGAAACAGUAAACUUUGACCUGGAGACGACCUCUUCUCUUUCCCCCUCCCUUGUUGGGAAGAUGGCGCUGUCCAGGGUGUGCUGGACUCGGGCUGCUCUGUGGGGUUCGGCUGUCGCCCCUGGACCUGUUGUCACCCGGAGGCUACAACUUGGUCGCUCCGGGCUUGCUUGGGAAGCCUUCCGGUCUUCGAAACUUCACCUUUCUCCAAAGUCAGAUAUGAAGAGCUUGAUCUCUUAUGUGGUGACCAAGACAAAAGUGAUUAACGGGAAAUACCAUCGUUUCUUGGGUCGUCAUUUUCCCCGCUUCUAUGUCCUGUACACAAUCUUCAUGAAAGGAUUACAGAUGUUUUGGGCUGAUGCCAAAAAAGCUAGAAGAAUAAAGACAAAUAUGUGGAAGCAAAGUAUAAAGUUUCAUCAACUUCCAUACCGGGAGAUGGAGCAUUUGAGACAGUUCCGUCAAGACGUCACGAAGUGUCUUUUCUUAGGUAUCAUUUCCAUCCCACCCUUUGCCAACUACCUGGUCUUCUUGCUAAUGUACUUGUUUCCUAGGCAACUACUGAUCAGACAUUUUUGGACCCCCAAACAACAAAUUGAUUUCUUAGAUAUCUAUCAUGCUCUCCGGAAGCAGUCCCACUCAGAAAUCAUUAGUUAUUUAGAAAGGGUCAUCCCUCUCGUUUCUGACGCAGGGCUCCAGUGGCAUCUGACAGAACUAUGCACCAAGAUACAGAAUGGUACCCACCCAGCAGUACAAGAUAUCCUGACUCUCAGAGAGUGUUUCUCUAACCACCCUCUGGGCAUAAACCAACUCCAGGCUUGGCAAAUGAAAGCCUUGAGCCGGGCCAUGCUUCUCACACCUUACCUGCCUCCUCCCUUGUUGAGACAUCGUUUGAAGACUCAUACCACUGUGAUUCACCAGCUGGACAGGGCUUUGGCAAAACUGGGGAUUGGCCAGCUCUCUGCUCAAGAAGUAAAAUUGGCUUGCUAUCUCCGUGGCCUGAAUUCUACCCAUAUUGCUGAAGACAGGUGUCGAACUUGGCUGGGGGAAUGGCUACAGAUUUCCUGCAGCCUGAAAGUUAGGACAACCAAAAAUAUCUCCAGACGUUGCCAAAUGUUCCUGGGGCUGAGAGAGCAAAGCGCCAGGCAGAACUGUCCUAGUUGAGAAGCAGUAAUCUACAGACAUCACACUUACAACAAAAAUGCUGUACUGGCUGGAAAAAGUUAUCAAGCUUGAGGAAACCGAGCUGUCCCUCUUGCUGCACAACGUGGUCCUGCUUUCUACCAACUACCUUGGGACAAGGCGCUGAGUGAACCAUGGAAUGGACGCCACUGUCCUGCAGUCAUAUAAUAUAGCAGUGUGGGACCAAAGAGCACUUGUCUGCAGUCUGUGUGCACGGUUAGGUGUGCAGGAGGCCAAGGAGCAGGUGCCAUGGGCUUCACAGUUGUCACCCUUGUGGGAACUAGACAUUCCGCUUACAGCUCAAACUAGAGCCCUUUUCAAGGGUGGCCCAUUUGAGGUGUCACAUGUCUCCCUCAUAGUAAGCUGGAGUUGGCAGCAACCUCUGUACUAGGCUUUUGCCAUGACGUGUCACUUUCAGGUCCUAUAUAGUAUUUUGCCCUUGGGGGAAUCAUUUCACGUAAGAUCCAUCAGCUCCCAUGUUCUUGACAACUGGUGCGUUUUUCUGUUAAAGAACUUCCAGCUGGUGCGAACAUUACUAGUGAGCCUGGAUCAUUUAUAUCCAUGCAUGUACUUCCUUCAGUGCUCCUUUUUUUUCUUUUUGGUACCAGGGAUCAAACUCAGGACCUUUUGGUUGCCAGGCAGGCACAGUGCCAUUGAGCUACAUCCCCGGCCCACCUUUGCCUCAUUUCUGAUAUGACUAAAAGCAGGAUUUUUUGGUCCUCCUCACUGGUGUGGGUUAACUAUUCCUUUUCCUUACAAAUUCCUUUGAACAUUUUUUUUUGGUUACCAGGGAUCAAACUCAGGACCUUGCGCUUGUGAGACAGGUGCAGUGCCACUGAGCUAAAUCCUCAGCUCCUGAAAAAAAAUUUUUUUUUUAAUGACUUAUGGGAACAUUCUGAAGGGAAUGAUUAAAAAGGAAGUGCUGCUUGACCUCUUCCCCAAGGUUUACAGCCUUCACUCCCACAUUGUCUUAACUUUUGGGCUGUUGGACAGCCCCUAAGGGUCUUCAAUUCUUUGCUACCUCCACUGUGUUGCAGAAUCCAACUGUAACUGACAGUGGCUUCUUUGGGCCAUGGGUCAAAACCUUAAGGUACUGAUUACUGCCCUGGAAGACCAGGAAAGAUCUGCAUCAAGACAGUAAGUUGGACAUGGCUUUUGUGUGUACUUCCAUGAUCUGUAGUUCUAUAAUAACUUAUUCUAAUGCAUGAAGCACUGUUUUUAAACUCAAGUAAAGACUACCUGAAACCAGCUGAUGAAGAUUACUUAUAUACACUCUAA